UUUCGCAAUGCCCGAAAGGGUGACGAAGCGACGCCGCGUGGGUGAGGAAGGCCUUCGGGUUGUAAAGCUCUGUCAGGAGUUAAGAAAUGUAAGUGCGCUAAUACCGCAUUUAUUUGACGAAGGCUCCAAAGGAAGUCACGGCUAACUCUGUGCCAGCAGCCGCGGUAAUACAGAGGUGGCAAGCGUUGUUCGGAAUUAUUGGGCGUAAAGAGCACGUAGGUGGGUUUGUAAGUCAGAUGUGAAAGCCUCCUGUUCAACGGGAGAAUUGCAUCUGAAACUACAGAUCUUGAGUGUAGGAGGGGAGAAUGGAACUUCUGGUGGAGCGGUGAAAUGCGUAGAUAUCAGAAGGAACGCCGGCGGCGAAAGCGAUUCUCUGGCCUAUUACUGACACUCAGUGUGCGAAAGCUAGGGUAGCAAACGGGAUUAGAUACCCCGGUAGUCCUAGCCGUAAACGAUGGGCACUAAGUAGAGGGGUUUUA
rnacentral:rRNA from 1 species